UGGAGGAACUCUGAUGCAGCGAUGCCGCGUGAGUGAAGAAGGCCCUUGGGUUGUAAAGCUCUUUCGUCGGGGAAGAAAAUGACUGUACCCGAAUAAGAAGGUCCGGCUAACUUCGUGCCAGCAGCCGCGGUAAUACGAAGGGACCUAGCGUAGUUCGGAAUUACUGGGCUUAAAGAGUUCGUAGGUGGUUGAAAAAGUUGGUGGUGAAAUCCCAGAGCUUAACUCUGGAACUGCCAUCAAAACUUUUCAGCUAGAGUUUGAUAGAGGAAAGCAGAAUUUCUAGUGUAGAGGUGAAAUUCGUAGAUAUUAGAAAGAAUACCAAUUGCGAAGGCAGCUUUCUGGAUCAUUACUGACACUGAGGAACGAAAGCAUGGGUAGCGAAGAGGAUUAGAUACCCUCGUAGUCCAUGCCGUAAACGAUGUGUGUUAGACGUUGGGAAUUUAUUUUCAGUGUCGCAGCGAAAGCGAUAAACACACCGCCUGGGGAGUACGACCGCAAGGUUAAAACUCAAAUGAAUUGACGGGGACCCGCACAAGUAGUGGAGCAUGUGGUUUAAUUCGAAGAUACGCGCAGAACCUUACCAACACUUGACAUGUUCGUCGCGACUCUAAGAGAUUAGAGUUUUCGGUUCGGCCGGACGAAACACAGGUGCUGCAUGGCUGUCGUCAGCUCGUGUCGUGAGAUGUUGGGUUAAGUCCCGCAACGAGCGCAACCCUCACUUUUAGUUGCCAUCAUUAAGUUGGGCACUCUGAAAGAACUGCCAGUGAUAAGCUGGAGGAAGGUGGGGAUGACGUCAAGUCCUCAUGGCCCUUACGUGUUGGGCUACACACGUGCUACAAUGGUAUCUACAACAGGAAGCAAGACGGUGACGUCAAGCAAAUCCUUAAAAGAUACCUCAGUUCGGAUUGCACUCUGCAACUCGAGUGCAUGAAGCUGGAAUUACUAGUAAUCGUGGAUCAGCGUGCCACGUGAUGCG
rnacentral:rRNA from 1 species